GAUGAAGAACGCAGCGAAAUGCGAUAAGUAAUGUGAAUUGCAGAAUUCCGUGAAUCAUCAAAUCUUUGAACGCACAUUGCGCCUUUUGGUACUCCUCAAGGCAUGCCUGUUCGAGAAUCAGUUUAACCAUCAUACUUUAAUAUGGAAACAUAUUUAGGUGUGGAGUUGGGAGUUCUUGAAAGAGAUACCCUAAUUUUAUUUGUUGCACAUCUCCAGUGAGAUUGGAUGUAAAGGCAUGACCAUUGAACGCAAGUUCUUCCGAUUGCAAGAGCAUACAUUUGAACUUUUGAUGUUGCCCAGAAUUUUAUACGAAGAUUAAUCAUCUUUAAGACUUGAUCUCGAAUCAGACAAGACUACCCGCUGAACUUAAGCAUAUCAAUAAGCGGAGGA
rnacentral:misc_RNA from 1 species